rnacentral:ncRNA from 1 species
UCCAAGUGAGACAUCUCACUUGGACAUGGGUUAGCCGAUCCUGAGAGACAGGUUAAAUUCCAUCGGAUUGGAGCUUUGGCUCUGUUUCUCGAAAGGGAAGCUGGUUAGUAUUCCAGCGCCGAGACGUGGAUAAUAUGUGGCAACACAAGUGAACUCGGACACGCCAUAGGGGACCCCAGGAAGCGUUGUCUUUUCUUUUUAACAGUUCGACUUACCCUGGAAUCAGAUCAUCUGGAGAUAGGGUUUUCGAACUGGAAUAGCACCUUGUCUAACAGGGUGUCUGGAGUGUUCUCGUUGGCCCUUGAAAAUCCGAGGGAUAGAUUUAUUCGCACUAGGUUCCA